UCCCUGGCAGUCCAGUGGUUAAGACUCUGCAUUUCUAAUGCAAGGGGUCUGGGUUUCAUCCCUGGUCAGGGAA
rnacentral:tRNA from 1 species